GACGAACGCUUGCGGCGUGCUUAACACAUGCAAGUCGAACGGAAAGGCCCUGCUUUUGUGGGGUGCUCGAGUGGCGAACGGGUGAGUAACACGUGAGUAACCUGCCCUUGACUUUGGGAUAACUUCAGGAAACUGGGGCUAAUACCGGAUAGGAGCUCCUGCUGCAUGGUGGGGGUUGGAAAGUUUCGGCGGUUGGGGAUGGACUCGCGGCUUAUCAGCUUGUUGGUGGGGUAGUGGCUUACCAAGGCUUUGACGGGUAGCCGGCCUGAGAGGGUGGCCGGCCACAUUGGGACUGAGAUACGGCCCAGACUCCUACGGGAGGCAGCAGUGGGGAAUAUUGCACAAUGGGCGGAAGCCUGAUGCAGCAACGCCGCGUGCGGGAUGACGGCCUUCGGGUUGUAAACCGCUUUCGCCUGUGACGAAGCGUGAGUGACGGUAAUGGGUAAAGAAGCACCGGCUAACUACGUGCCAGCAGCCGCGGUGAUACGUAGGGUGCGAGCGUUGUCCGGAUUUAUUGGGCGUAAAGGGCUCGUAGGUGGUUGAUCGCGUCGGAAGUGUAAUCUUGGGGCUUAACCCUGAGCGUGCUUUCGAUACGGGUUGACUUGAGGAAGGUAGGGGAGAAUGGAAUUCCUGGUGGAGCGGUGGAAUGCGCAGAUAUCAGGAGGAACACCAGUGGCGAAGGCGGUUCUCUGGGCCUUUCCUGACGCUGAGGAGCGAAAGCGUGGGGAGCGAACAGGCUUAGAUACCCUGGUAGUCCACGCUGUAAACGGUGGGUACUAGGUGUGGGGUCCAUUCCACGGGUUCCGUGCCGUAGCUAACGCUUUAAGUACCCCGCCUGGGGAGUACGGCCGCAAGGCUAAAACUCAAAGGAAUUGACGGGGCCCCGCACAAGCGGCGGAGCAUGCGGAUUAAUUCGAUGCAACGCGUAGAACCUUACCUGGGUUUGACAUGGAUCGGGAGUGCUCAGAGAUGGGUGUGCCUCUUUUGGGGUCGGUUCACAGGUGGUGCAUGCCUGUCGUCAGCUCGUGUCGUGAGAUGUUGGGUUAAGUCCCGCAACGAGCGCAACCCUUGUUCACUGUUGCCAGCACGUUAUGGUGGGGACUCAGUGGAGACCGCCGGGGUCAACUCGGAGGAAGGUGGGGAUGACGUCAAGUCCUCAUGCCCCUUAUGUCCAGGGCUUCACGCAUGCUACAAUGGCUGGUACAGAGAGUGGCGAGCCUGUGAGGGUGAGCGAAUCUCGGAAAGCCGGUCUCAGUUCGGAUUGGGGUCUGCAACUCGACCUCAUGAAGUCGGAGUCGCUAAUAAUCGCAGAUCAGCAACGCUGCGGUGAAUACGUUCCCGGGGCU
rnacentral:rRNA from 1 species